GAUGAACGCUGGCGGCGUGCCUAAUACAUGCAAGUCGAGCGAACGGACGAGAAGCUUGCUUCUCUGAUGUUAGCGGCGGACGGGUGAGUAACACGUGGAUAACCUACCUAUAAGACUGGGAUAACUUCGGGAAACCGGAGCUAAUACCGGAUAAUAUUUUGAACCGCAUGGUUCAAAAGUGAAAGACGGUCUUGCUGUCACUUAUAGAUGGAUCCGCGCUGCAUUAGCUAGUUGGUAAGGUAACGGCUUACCAAGGCAACGAUGCAUAGCCGACCUGAGAGGGUGAGGGGCCACAGGGAAGGUGACACGCGGAACGGGCGCAAGCGGGAGGCAGCAGUGGGGAGUGUGCGAGAAGGGGCGAGGGCCUGAAAGAUAAACUCAGCGGGGGUGAAGAAGGUCUUCGGAUCGUAAAACUCUCUUAUCAGGAAAAAACAUGUGUGUAAGUACCUGUGAACAGCUUGAGGGAACCUAAUAGAAAGGCCACGGCUAACUACGU
rnacentral:rRNA from 1 species